ensembl:lncRNA ZBED3-AS1 ZBED3 antisense RNA 1
GCGCGGGUGCCAGGGAGGCCGGCAGGGGCGUCCGCGGUCGCUGCUCACCUGCGCUCCCCGCUGCCCGGCCCAGCCCGCCUCGCCACCGAGUCUGGAAGCCCACACUCACCCCUUUACCCGGGAAACGCGGCCGGAGCCGGCGGCGGGUCGGGAGUCCGAGAUGGUAGAUCCCCCUCCAGGCGCCUCGCUGACAUUUUGUCCCGGACGGAAAACCUCCGCGCGUGCCCCUUAAAGACACAGCGCUGCAUUCACACGUCUGCGGGGAAAGGGGGGCCGUCACGUGUGGCCUUCGCCCGAAAGCGGUAGGGGAGUCGCUCUGAAACCGCCAAGGAUCGCGAGCGACAGAUUUGUGUUGGCCAGGGUUUUAAGAUGACGCAAUAGCUGAGUGUGGUUGAAAUGUAACUAUUGUUUUACAACUUUGCAUUAACCUUCCAAGACCUGAAUUCCCGGGCCUGAGUCUCAGAGCGCGGUUUGCAUCUUUGCAGGCUGUAGGCGCAUGAUGUCACAAGUUAUUGGAAGAAAUCCCUCCAACCUAGGUUGGGACAGAUGAAGGCGGCGCUUAUUGGUGUUCACCAAAACACCAGCAUGGUGUACCAGCUUUGGCUAGAUGAUGCUCAGAACACCAGAGACUGGGUAAUUAAUAAAAAGAAGAAAUUGAUCUGGCCUACAGUUCUGGAGCCUUGGAAGUCCGAGAUCAAGGAGCUGCAUCUGUUGAAUGGAUGGCCAGGAUCAAAGCUAUCUGCUGUGAGACACAAUGAGAAAUGCUUUUGUGUAAAGGAAAACACAGAUCCUGGUGCCGAACAUGAGGACAGGGCAGGCCGAAGGAGAAAGUGGAAGGAGGGGAGCUUCUCUCUCAGCCUCAUCCUUCUGGGCCUGGAUGCUGGAGAGUCAUGAGGUGCUUCAGAGUACUCUGGGUGAGGAGGGAAAGAUGGUGCCCACCACAUGGAGGCCAGCCUAGGUCUUGUAUGAAACCUGUGAGGCCAGCAGGAGCCAGGCCGUGGCCUGCUGACUGCAUCUGCCAGAUGACUACCAAUGUGUGAGUAAACCCAUUCUCAAGCCCAAGAGAACCUCUCAGCUGAACCAGGCCCAAGUUGCUCACCCACUGAACUGCCAGUUAAAUAAAUGGUGGUUGUUUUAAUCCACUAAAUGCUGGGAUGGUUUGUUAUACAGCAGUAGGUAUCAAUACAGUGUACUUGUCAAUCUAGGAAUUCCUGUCUUGUCAAAUCUGAGAAAAUUCUCGGUCACUGUCACUUCAAAUAUUACUUCUUUCCCAUUUUCUAUUCACUCAUUCCAAAACUCCUAGUGGAUGUCUUUUCUGUCAUUUCUGGUUCUGUCUUUUGUGAUCUUAAACUUUCAUUCAUUGUUUUUCCAUUUUUACUUCCGUGUUACAUUUUGAGUCAUUUCCUUAGUUCCAGUUUGCUUAUUUUCUAUUCAACCAUUAAAUAUUUCUAUUUAGUUUUAAGUUUCAGUGGCUAUAAGUUUCAUUUAUAAAAGAACUAUUUGGUUAUUUUCUAAAUCUGCAUUUUGUUUUCACAUGUUUUUCUGUUUUUUAAUUUGUAUUUUCCUUUGCCCUUGUAAAUCAUUUAAAAUGUACUUAUUUUAUAAUCAUCUGUGGCUUGAUCUGUUUCUUUACUUCUUGGGCAUUACUUUUUCUGUUAAUUUCAUGAUCUGACCCUCAAGGUGGUUUCCUCCUAUGGUUUGUAAUUUUUAUUAUGAGCUUAUUUUCAGCAGGGAUUUCUCCCCUCUGGUGAAGAUCUGUAUGCCUUGGGUAAUGUGAUUGUCACUUCACUAUGCCUGCAAGUUUGCUUCUGAUGGCAUCCUACCGAUAUCACCAACUCUCAACCAGCUCUAAUGUUUCUUGGUAUUUCUGCCCACAGUGAAAAUUCAGAGCUCACUUCAAUGCAUGGCAUGGGCUUGGCUUCAAGUUUUUCUGUAUGACCUUUUUUUAAAUUUAUUUUUAUUUUUUUAAACCUAUAGCCCAAGGACACGGGAGCUUUUUUUCCUGAUUUGUUUUUGCCAACACUGUAGCCCUCAGGAACUCAGAUUUUGCAAAGUGCUCAAUUCCAGUUGCCUUCCUUACUCACACCAGAGACAAUAUUUUAUUGGCCUGCAAGGGUGUUAAAAUCCCAAGGGUGUUAAAAUCCCCAGAUCUCCAGGGCCUAUCAUUGGUCCAAACCCUGCAGAGGCUACAGUGACAUUAGCCCCUACUUACUGCCCAGCCUCUGAGCUCCCUCUUUGUUUCUAGAAUCUGGGGAUUUCCCUUUCUCUCUGUCUAGAGAUUGUUGUGCUGGACCCCUAUUGACUCCAAUAGGAAUGGCACCAGGUUCAAGAGGCCAAAGAAGAGACCUGGAGCCAGCAAAUGAGACAUAAGAUUUGAUUUGGGGGAACUUAUGUACAGGGAUGGACUAGUGGCAGUGGGCUGGAUAAGAGAACCACAACUGCUUUCCAAAAGCCUGCAGUUUAUACAGCACCUUCACUCAGCACCCUCUCUCCAGCAACAUCCACAUGGCAACCCCCAUUUCCUAGGCUAAGUUAUUGCUGUCAGAUGUGUUUGCCAUACAGGCUGCUGUACAGAGUAUGCUUAAGUUAUUGCUGUCAGGUACAUCCACCGUAUAUAUACAUACACAUGUACGUAUAUAUACACAUACAUGUAUGUGUGUGUGUACAUAUUUGUACUCAUAUACAUGUGUAUAUAUAGAUAUAUAAAAAAAUUUUCUCUGUGUUUCCCUGUAACAGUAACUGAAGAGGGAAUUCUUCUAUAUAAUCUCAGUCCACUAUAUUGCUAGAAGUUCUCUUCUCUAUACUUUUGAGAUAUGAAUUUUACCUUUCAAUAUUCUAAAAUUAUAACAAAGCUAUAAAUUUUGGGAAUUGGUAUAUGUUUGUUUUUAGAAAAAUUGUUAGAAACAUAAUAGCAAUGGGAUGCUUUAACAUGCUACCUUGAACCUUUACCAAAUCAAGAGAGUAAAAAUUAAGCACAAAAGAGGGAUCUAAUACUAUAAACAAGGUAGAUUUAAUACAUAUGUAUCAAACAUAGUAACCUAGAAGCAAUGAAUAUACAUUUUCUGGUGCUCAUUUAACAUUAACGACCUUCAAGAAGGCUUUAAACAGCAACAGAUAGAGUUGAGUUGCUUUGGCCUAUUGCUAAAGGCAUCUAACCCACCUGCUUUGUGGGAGGUCAUCUGCUUUGAAUCUCAACUGUAUCCAAGUCAGAUUUAAACUCUAUGGGGCAUUGGAAUUGUCCUCUGAAUCAUCUCCAACUCUGCAGGAUACAUAAUAGCACCACUUUGUUGUUCUGGAAUUUAAAGACAGGGUCUUAUUCAACUUUGGCUAUUUUUGUGCAGUCCAUGGAUCCUUGAAACAGGACAUUCUACUUUACCAAUAUCUGACUCAUAGAAGACCUAUCUAUAUACCUACCAGGUGGCUACUACCCAGUAACUCCUACCGCCAAUACCAUGACAUUUGUUUUGAAAACCUUAGCUUAUUGCAAUAUUGCUUAUAAUUAUGAAACCUUAGAAACAACUGAAAUGCCUAUCAAAGAGAGAAUUUAUAAAUAAAAUGUAACAUAUUCACGUUCUAUUUUGAUAUGAAUUACCAUAAUAU